rnacentral:rRNA from 1 species
GACGAACGCUGGCGGCGUGCUUAACACAUGCAAGUCGAACGGAAAGGCCCUGCUUGCAGGGUACUCGAGUGGCGAACGGGUGAGUAACACGUGGGUGAUCUGCCCUGCACUUCGGGAUAAGCCUGGGAAACUGGGUCUAAUACCGGAUAGGAGCCAUUUUUAGUGUGAUGGUUGGAAAGUUUUUUCGGUGUAGGAUGAGCUCGCGGCCUAUCAGCUUGUUGGUGGGGUAAUGGCCUACCAAGGCGGCGACGGGUAGCCGGCCUGAGAGGGUGGACGGCCACAUUGGAACUGAGAUACGGCCCAGACUCCUACGGGAGGCAGCAGUGGGGAAUAUUGCACAAUGGGCGCAAGCCUGAUGCAGCGACGCCGCGUGGGGGAUGACGGCCUUCGGGUUGUAAACUCCUUUCGCUAGGGACGAAGCUUUUUGUGACGGUACCUAGAUAAGAAGCACCGGCUAACUACGUG